AUGGCCUGGGCUUUGCAUUUCCUCUGCCUCCUCACUCAGGGCACAGUGUCCUGGGCCCAGUCUCCCCUGAUUCAGUCUCCCUCAGUGUACAUGACUUCUGGGCAGUCUGUAACCAACUCCUGUGCUGGAAGCAGCAGUGAUGUUGGGAGUUAUGAUUACAUCUUCUGGUAUCAACAACACCCAGGAACAGCCCCCAAACUCCUGAUUUAUGAUGUCGGUUCUCAAGCAUCAGGAGUCCCUGAUAGUUUCUCAGGCUCCAAGUCUGGCAACAUGGUCUCCAUGACCAUCUCUGGGCUCCAGAUGGAGGACUAG